rnacentral:rRNA from 1 species
CAGACGGCUCAGUAACACGUAGUCAAUCUAACCUAUGGACGAGGAUAACCUCGGGAAACUGAGAAUAAUACUCGAUAGAUCAUAAUGCCUGGAACGGUUUAUGGUUCAAAUGAAUUUCGCCAUAGGGUGGGACUGCGGUCUAUCAGCUUGUUGGUGAGGUAAUGGCCCACCAAGGCUAUUACAGAUACGGGCUCUGAGAGGAGUAGCCCGGAGAUGGGUACUGAGACACGGACCCAGGCCCUAUGGGGCGCAGCAGGCGAGAAAACUUUGCAAUGUGCGAAAGCACGACAAGGUUAAUCCGAGUGGUUCCUGCUAAAGGAAUCUUUUGUUAGUCGUAACACCACUGAUGAAUAAGGGGUGGGCAAGUUCUGGUGUCAGCCGCCGCGGUAAAACCAGCACCUCAAGUGGUCAGGAGGAUUAUUGGGCCUAAAGCAUCCGUAGCCUGCUCUGUAAGUUUUCGGUUAAAUCUAUGUGCUCAACACAUAGGCUGCCGGAAAUACUGCAGAGCUAGGGAGUGGGAGAGGUAGACGGUACUCCGUAGGAAGGGGUAAAAUCCUUUGAUCUAUGGAUGACUACCUGUGGCGAAGGCGGUCUACCAGAACACGUCCGACGGUGA